AUUGAACGCUGGCGGCAUGCUUUACACAUGCAAGUCGAACGGCAGCGCGGGCUUCGGCCUGGCGGCGAGUGGCGAACGGGUGAGUAAUGCAUCGGAACGUGCCCAGUAGUGGGGGAUAGCCCGGCGAAAGCCGGAUUAAUACCGCAUACGACCUGAGGGUGAAAGCGGGGGACCGAAAGGCCUCGCGCUAUUGGAGCGGCGGAUGUCGGAUUAGCUAGUUGGUGGGGUAAAGGCUUACCAAGGCGACGAUCCGUAGCUGGUCUGAGAGGACGACCAGCCACACUGGGACUGAGACACGGCCCAGACUCCUACGGGAGGCAGCAGUGGGGAAUUUUGGACAAUGGGGGCAACCCUGAUCCAGCCAUGCCGCGUGCGGGAAGAAGGCCUUCGGGUUGUAAACCGCUUUUGUUCGGGAAGAAAUCCUCUGGGCUAAUACCCCGGGGGGAUGACGGUACCGGAAGAAUAAGCACCGGCUAACUACGUG
rnacentral:rRNA from 1 species